CAGAGCAGGUGAGACUCACCUUCUAAUCACUGAGUCAUAAAAAAGCCUUUGUGGCACCAUGUGAGAAACAAUCCUGUGAGCAGACAGGACAGGCAGAGAGAGGCAAGGGGGCACUGAACAGCGCAGGAAUGUGGACAUAAAGAAGCUGAAGGGCCCUCACAACACCCUGGCAUCAAUCUUAUAGGUAAGACUAAAGAACAAAGUUAUGCAUUUUUGGGCCAAAGAGAGGACAAAAGGAACUUAGGAGUACCAAAAACCUGAAAUUAACUCUGAAGAACUUGUCUCUCGUUUCCCAUUUGAGCUGCAGCUCCCUGGAAUAAAAGCCAGCCUGGUGAUGGAGGCACAAGGCUCAGAGUCAGCUCUGGAUCCUGGCUCUGCCAGAUCCUGGCAGUGCCACCUUCAGUAAGUUUCCUGACCUUUCCACACCU
rnacentral:lncRNA from 1 species